GAUGAACGCUAGCGGCAGGCCUAAUACAUGCAAGUCGAACGCUCAGUAGCAAUACUGGGAGUGGCGCACGGGUGCGUAACGCGUACACAAUCUACCUCUAAGCGGGGGACACCUCCUGGAAACGGGGAUUAAUACCGCAUAAUAUGCCGAAGUCGCAUGACUUUGGUAUUAAAGCAGCAAUGCACUUAGAGAUGAGUGUGCGUCCCAUUAGGUAGUUGGUGAGGUAACGGCUCACCAAGCCUAUGAUGGGUAGCCGGUCUGAGAGGAUGGUCGGCCACACGGGCACUGAGACACGGGCCCGACUCCUACGGGAGGCAGCAGUAAGGAAUAUUGGUCAAUGGUGGAAACACUGAACCAGCCAUGCCGCGUGGAGGAAUAAGGUCCUACGGAUUGUAAACUCCUUUUGACGAGGAAAAAAAUGUUAGAUUAUCUAAAUUUGACGGUACUCGUAGAAUAAGCACCGGCUAAACUCCGUGCCAGCAGCCGCGGUAAU
rnacentral:rRNA from 1 species